AACGCGAAGAACCUUACCCAGGCUUGACAUCCACUGCAAGUCCGUGAAAGCGGUACCCCUCUCCCGAAAGGGAGAGCAGUGAGACAGGUGUUGCAUGGCUGUCGUCAGCUCGUGUCGUGAGAUGUUGGGUUAAGUCCCGCAACGAGCGCAACCCUCACCCCAUGUUGCCAGCGUCAAGUCGGGCACUCUUGGGGAACUGCCCGGGUAACCGGGAGGAAGGUGGGGAUGACGUCAAGUCGGCAUGGCCCUUACGCCUGGGGCUUCACCCAUGCUACAAUGGGCGCGACAGAGGGAUGCAAGACCGCGAGGUGGAGCCAAUCCCAGAAAAGCGCUCUCAGUUCGGAUUGCAGGCUGCAACUCGCCUGCAUGAAGUCGGAAUCGCUAGUAACCGCCGGUCAGCUAAACGGCGGUGAAUACGUUCCCGGGCCUUGUACACACCGUAGUAC
rnacentral:rRNA from 1 species